UUUGCACAAUUCACAGAAAUGGCUAGCAAAUGCACAGGGGAAGUACAAGAGGUGAGAGACAGCUUACAAUAUCACCCCGUUUUCUCCUGUUUUCUUGAUUACAUAAUAAACAAGUAACUUAGAUUUGUUUUGUUUGCAGAUUGAUGAGCUUCUAAAGAGGAGGAAUGAGAUAUGUGCGGCUUACACAAUCUUCCCACCAACGAAGCAAGGUUCAAGCAAGAGCAGAAGCUGGAGCAAGAAGAAGAGCAGUCUUUUAAUGGAACCUAGAGAAGAAGGAGAAGUCGCAGUUAGGGAAGAAGGUGGAGUCAAGAAGAAGAAAUGGUACAAUAUUCAGCUGAGGCAAGACAAGAAAAAAAACUGAAGAGACUACUGCAAUCUUGAGUUUUCUUCAGGCACAUAGCUAUGUUCGAGAAACGAUAUAUAUAUGUUUCAGUGAUAAUCUUUAGGGAUUAUCAACAUCUUAUAAAAAGUGGUCUAUGGUUUAUCUCUUUGCACACUUUGCCUGAUUCAUCUCUUCGUAUACUUCUACGGAUUCAGAUUUACAUUCUCUGUUCGCAGUACUGUCAACUUCGUCUUCUUCAGAAGCUUUGCUGAAUUCAUAUGUGUCCUGCUGAUUACGCCGCCAUCUUCUUCCUCACCGGAUCCUGGUUUUAACGUAACAUUUUGCUCCAAAAAAAGAAAAGUAAAACCCUAUAAAAAAAAGGAAAACCAAAAAGUGGAGUCUCUAUGCAAUAGAUAUAAUUGCUUUGGUAACAUUUUAGAGAAGAAAUGGGUGGAUCUUGGUUCAAGAACUAAUUCCAAGUCUAAUUUUGUAAUCUCAAAAUCACUGCAAAUGUCACAAACAAACCAAAGCACCAUUUCGACAAACAUCAGAAACCCACAAUCCAUAAGACGUUUUCCAAGUUGUUAGGUUACUUACUUGUUUGGAAUUAAAUAAACUUUAUCCCUUUGGUUUUGUUGGUUUAGUUAAGGUUGGUAAUCACUUGAUAUUCAUAUACUCAAGACUUGGAGCGUCGACUUCAACAACAAGAUCCUCAAACUCGAGAUGCUAAGACUGAAACUAGUGUGAAGCUUUCCAAUGGUUGUGAACGAAAUCACAAAACUUUGAUAUAAUUGUCGGAUAAGUGAUCACGGUUAAAUCCUCAAGAAUAGGACAACUUAAUUAGAGAGUCUCCAAAAUGGAAUCGUCAUCAAACUUGACCUUCUCUAAAUACAUAGCAUUGACACAAGGUAUAGAAACCGAUUUUGAAUUUGGAUUAUCAAAUACAACACAUUAGAGAGUCAAAUUCACCAAAUUCGAACAUGUAUAGAGCGAGAAAGGCAUCAUAACUAAGGUUCCAAAGACUCUAAAAAACGUUAGAGAGUUAAGAUGCCUAUCUUGUUCUAUUUUUGUGCGACUUUGGUGGAUUUAAAUCUCCAUUGUGUUGUCUUUUAUCAUCCGAAAUCAAAAUUGGUUUCUUUACCUUUUGUAUAUAUUUAAAGGGGGUUAAGUUUGUUGGCGACUCAGGUUUGAAGACUCUCAUAUCAAGCUGUAUGGUUCUUGAGGAUUUAAUUAUGAUUACGCAUCUGAAUGAUUAUCUCAAAGUCAUACAUGUUCAUUCUCAAUCACUGAAAAGCAUCAUACUAGAGUCUCAGCAUAUAUUGAAUAUGAUGAUCUUGUGGUUAAAAUUGAUGCUCCGAGUCUUGAAUAUAUGAGUAUUCAUGAUUACCAAUCUAAAAGCUUUCUAAGCCCAUUCCAACUCUCCUUCAAUAUGAUACUUUCUGCUUUGGGCCUACAUGCUCAACCCGUAUGGAUUUGUUAUUGGCUUCUUCCAAAAUGCCUCAUUCUAGUUGGAAUUGGACUUGACUUAUAUAUUAGACACUUAUUUUCUAAACUUUCGAUAUGGGAUGUUUGUUUGUACCCAAUAAUCUCCCCUUCAAACCAAGAACCACGGACAUUGGACCUCUUUUUAAGCGAAACUUUGGUACCCUUAACUCGGCACCUUCUUAUUUUCGAAGUUCUUGAAUCACUUUCUUAUCAUGUCACAUUUAAUGGCUUCUUCCACACCGAACUUUUAGCCCACACCCCUAAAUCCAUUUUUUCAACCUAGGCUGUGAUACUAUUUAGUGGGUUUUCUAAGUCAUUCCAACUCUCAAUUAGUAUAAUAUUGUCCGUUUUGACCCUACAUGCCAAAGCCCGCAAGGAUUUGUUAUUGGGUUCCUUCCCAAAAAGCUUCAUACUAAUUGGAGUUUGACUAGACUUAUAUAUUAGACCCUUCUUUUCUAAACUUCUAAUGUGGGACGUUGGUUUAUACAACAACAACAUAGUAGUGGUUCCUCUAUAGAGGUAAACGUUGAUGUUGUGUUUGGUAUCGAGUAUUAUGAUCCAUUGGAAAUAACUAAACUCCAUAAUAUUCUCACUAGGACCAUAUUUGAAAAAGUGACCAUAUCUGUUAGAACUAUAGAGGUACAUUUACUUUCUUUAGUUCUAUUCACAGAUUAUCCAUUCCAUGGUGGAACCGUCGCCUCCAUUUUCUAACUUGUCUCGCUUGGAUGCCUCAUUAGUAAAAUCUUCUUGGAAAGUUUGAUGCAUGAAUCUACAUUCACUCACAAUAGUGCAUUUAUCGGUUUGCUAGGGUGGGUAUCUGGCUAACAAGUGGCGGAGAGUCCGAGAGUUGAACUAUUAUGGAAAGCUAGUUGUGGGUCCGGCUUACCACUUGUAACAUAUUUGAGAAGGGAUUCAAAUACUCUCACAUCUUUAGCACAAAUUCCAAAACAACAUCUCCAAACCAGCUUUCAUUAAUAUCUAUAAAUGGUCUAACUUGAAAACAAUUGUACACAACUUUAUCAAAAGUUUGACUACUAAAGUAAAUUUUCCUUCCGUAGUUGUUUUACCAUUUAAUGGGAUGAUUGGUAAACACUUUGGAGGCUUCAAAUUUUUUUACAAGUCUUUACAGUUUAUGGGACUGAUUGGAAAUCCUUGUUAGUUAAGGCCGUAGAAACGUUUUGACUGUAAGAAUUUUUGUUGUAGAAACUGUUGUUCUAUGGACUAUAACUAUAUAAAUUUUAUAAUUGAUUGGUAAAGACUUUUUUAAAAGCUUGAUUGGAAAAAAAACUGUGGAAACUUUUGAAAAGCUUCUCAAUCACACUUUGUCGGUUUUAACAAAUUUAAAAGCCUCUAGAGCCAUAUUUAUUUUUAGUUUUUACUCUUUACUACCAAUUUUAUUUUUAAAGCCACGUAAACAUGAGUUUAAAAAUAAAAACAAGAAAAGCUUAUAAUUUUCUCUUUUCUUCUUCGCCAUAUGUAUAAAACCUCUCAUCACAUUCACUUAUAAAUUAGCUUUUUAAAAGAAAAAUAGUUGAUUAACAAUUGAAUUGUUUAUCUUCUUUUUUUAAGAUCCAUUAUCCAUAUUUUUGGUAAUUAUUUAAAAUCGUUAUUUCUAUAUUCACAUGUUUUCCUAAAGUCAAAGUUCUUACAACAAAAGUCUUUGCAGGCCAAAAUCUAUAUAACCGAAAGUAACAGCGGUUACCAAUUAGUCCUUAAAAGUAAUUUUUUACGAUACAUUCCUCAUCCUAUAAAGAAUACUAUACGAAAAAGGUUUACGUUCAAGUUUUCUACUAAUGACCAUUAAAAGAACAAAAAAGAAAUGAAGCACAUGAACAAUGAGGAAUGUAACAUAAUUUUUUGUGGAAUGGAAAGGAAAAUUUACUCGAAAAGAAUAAAAAUAUACUUAUGAUGAAUGGUAACCAAACAAAAACAAUAUUUUAAGAAUAUUUCUUUUAUAUUUAAUAAUUUAAUACAAUUAUUUUAAUCAAAUGUAAAAUUAUUCCACAAAAAAAAAUCAAAUGUAAAAUUAACUAAAUACAAAGUAUUUUCACUAAUAUUAUUUCGUAAUUAUUUCAUAUAUUUUUAAAAAAUAAUGUUAUUUUUCCAUUCCUUAUAAUUGUAUAUCUUAUUUUUUUCUCUGAAUUUUUAUUAUUUUUAUGUUUCAUUCUUUUUUUUUACAGCUUUAUGUUUCAUUCUUCAUUAUUCAUUUUGUAUAAUUGUUUUUGUUUAUUUAAUGGUCACGAGUAGAAGAAUGAUAUUCUUUGUGUCUUUUUUUCACAAAGAAUGAUAUUCUAAACUCCAAAAUAUUAAUUGUAAAAAUUAUUGAUUGUAAUUGGUGAGCAGAUAGGGAAUGUAUUUUGUGUGAAAAUAUAAAAAUGCAUAAUUAAUUAUUAUUUAUUUUUUAAUUUUUAAAAAAUAAAAAUAAAAAGUCAUUGUAUAAGGAAUAAAGGUAAUGAUAUCUUAAACCAAUAUCAAUAAUUAAUAAGAUUAUUUCAAAUAUUACUAUGGAAAUUUAUUUUCAUAAAGUCUUUUCGAAGACAUUCGAGAACAAAAUCAUUUUUGAUGAAUAAUUGAUACCAGAAUUAUUAUACUUACUUUACAUAAAAUCUUAAGUUAUAUAUGAAAAUUGAAACAUAUCCAGAAACAAAUAAUCAAACAUUAAAAUCAAGAAAUACAUGUAUGAAUGGAGUUUGAAGGUACUUGUGUUUUCUUUAACCAUGAGAUCUAAAUCUGGGACCUAAUCCUAUUUCUCGGAGAACAACAAAUUUGGAUCCCGGAUAAUUUGACCAUAUUAAUCGGGUUCUUUAUAGCUAUUUAUAAAUUUCAAGGAUCUGACUAAAAACACACAACAAAAUAAAAAAUUAAUAGAACAUGAGAUAAAAGUCAAUUGGAGAAUAUCCAAUAAAACAUCAAGUAGACAAAAUUUUGUGAACAUCAUAUGUAAAAUAUUGAAAUUAAUUGAAACGAAUAGAAACUGUAAAUGUUCUUAUUAUAUUGGCACAUACCUUUCGAUGAAUGGUAAAAAAAAUUCGAGGGGAAGAGAUACUAGGCUUUCCACUGGCCGAUCAUUGAGCUUCGCUCCAAAAGAGAGGCAUUUUAUUUGAUAAGAUCUUGGUCUCAUAGAUUCUCAUCUAAUGUAAUCAAAGAUUUUAUAUUUUGUUUUCUAAGAGAUCGGCGGCACAAGUACUAGAAAACAGUUUUGAGAGUUUGUAAACCUAUAUACUACUGAAAUUAACCUAAAAAUGGAUUAAGACACAUUUAAAACGACAAUGUAUAAAAUGCUCUGGUCCUGGCUUGGAGGAGUGUUCAGGUCUAGGCCCAG
rnacentral:lncRNA from 1 species